CAUGCUCAGAGGCCCUGUAGUAGGGACCCUAUAGUGACUCGGCCUUGGGUCAGCCUGUUGGAUCUGUUUCUUCCUGAUACACAACACUUGGAAGAGGCUGACAUUCCAAUAAUGUGAAGCCGUGUAUGCAUGCUGCAACGUUGUUGUAAAUGCAAGAUACUGGAAACAUUUUAAGUGCACAUACGAGAGGUGGUGAAGCGAUUGUGUGCACCCACCCAAGGGAGUGCUGUGCAGCUGUGAAAAAGAGCAAGGGUGGUCUCUGUGGACGUCUGUGGGUGAGUCCUGGGAAACACUGCUAAGCCAGAAUGUUACUCUGUGUGGGAUAAAGGAAGAAGCAUAAGAAGAUGUACCUGUAUUUGGUCAUGGUACAAAGCAUGCUGAAAGGCUGAAGCAGAAGCUAAUGAGAGUCUAGGGGCAAGUGGAUUGGGGCUGAAGCAGAGGCAGAAUGGCGGGAGGCUUCUCCAGGGGCACUGUCUGUGCACAGAUCUGCCUCUUGGAGCCGUGUUAAGGUUUCCAGUACUGAAAAAAGAAGGGAGGGAGAGGGGGCGGGGACGGGGAGGAGAGGGAGAGGAAGGAGGAAAAGGAAAGGAUGCCAACAAGGAUAUGGAAAACAAUCUUAAGGUGGGAAGCAAGUAGGAAGAAAUGAAAUGUAUUUGAGAUGAAGCACACCUUCCCCUCACAGAAAGGAGGCGUGAGGGGCACUAAGCCCAGUGACAACAACGGUAUUUCACUAGGGACGGAAGAACCCUAGAGAGUCUGAAGUGUGGCUGGAGAGUAGGUUUCUGUAGUGUGGAUGGAUAGAAUAGCAAUUGUUGCAGUCAAGGUCUGCAAGGGAAAUAGAUUGAAUACAGGACACAUAAUUUAUAGGACUAUUUUAUAACAUUAACCCAAAAAGUCAAAUGCAGAGGAGUGCAAGAGGUCUAGCCGAACACUAGAGACGCAAAGAAUCUAGCCAAGGGCCUGGAUCCCACAGUAAUGUCCCACACAAGUCCAGCUGAAGGGCAAGCGUUCAAGGUAAUGUCCUGCAGAAGUCCAGCCAGAGCAGUCUAGAGCCCAUGACAAUGCCUCAUGCAAGUCAGUAUUGAGGAUUUGCACUAGGAAGGCCCAAAGGCCAGUGGCGGAAGCCAGAAAGUCUACACCAGUGCAGUGAAGGAUUGGUGCCACCACGCUGAGGGAUCUACAUUGGAGCCAGGAAGCGAUGUUCAUGGCAAAGAUCAGGGUACCCCUGAUGAGGACAGCAGCCAUUCCCAGUGACAUUGAGGACCCAAGCUCCUCCUAGGAUGAGAGAACAGCUAAGUUCACAUCGGGAAAACCACCCAGGCAAGCUUCUCUUGAAAAAUUAGCAGCCUACAAUCUUCUCCUCCAGUUCUCUUUUUAUAUCAUUGUUGGUGGGUCUUCCAUACCCAACCACACUGAUUCAGUUCAGCUGGGUGUUCCAAGUUGACCAUUAAUUAAUCUACCACAGCAAUUCUGAAAAUACUGUGUAUUAUGGGAUUGGGCAAAUCAAUGAAUAUGUUGUGUAAAAUGGCAGUCAGGCUUUUCAUCAAAGAGAAGCAAGAUAGAAAGAUGGAAAAGAGGAGGAGCUAAUGCUGGGUGCUGCAGUGUUGAACUGGAAUUGGAGGUACUCUUGGGUUUUAUCAUACAUGGGCAUAUCCCUGUACAGUGUAUAUGUACAGUGUGUAUAUAUGCACACAUACGCAUUUACACUUCUAUAAACACUAAAUAUUUAUAUUUAGGUAUAUAUGUACUUGUAUACACCUGUGUAUGUAUAACUAUGUGUGUAUAUGUGUAUUUCUAAAUCUAUUGAAAGGAAAACAUGGUAAGAUGUUUAUAUGUGGGGCAUCUGGGUAAAACAUUAAUGGGAAUUCUUUGUACAAUUCUUGCAAAAUUUUGUACAUCUGAAAUUAUAUCAUAGUAAAAAUGUGAAAAGAAAGAAGGCAAAGCAGUUGCCCAUGAGAGUUGAUGCGGAGAUGUGACCUGGGUCCCUCAAGGCCCCAUGUGACCCCAGUCUCCUCCUGGCCCAGUGUGGGUCGCCCCAGGAGCUCCCCAUUCAGGGCAGUGCUGGGCAGGUGUUUCGUAAGCUCUUCUCCUUCACCCACAGGUGGGGCCCUCAGUGGGGUGCAAGGAGCAGGAAGAGAAGGAAGGGAGCCCUCUGUGGAGCUGAGCCCUGCCCCUGGGGUAUCCCAGCUGCUGCUGGAGCCCAAGGAGAGAAACCUUGUUGGUCUCGGUGUGGAUGCAGGUGUGGUCCAGCCUUUGAGGGGUGUCCUCAGGCUGCUCUCCGGAUCUCUUGCAGCAUGUGCAGAGAGGCUUCUCAGGGUAAUAGAUCCUCCCUGUCUAGCCUCUGCUUUUUCUCAGAUGGGCAUCUCUUUCACAUGCAUCCUAUACUCAGAAACAUUGCUUCUCGGGAGUUUCAAAGAUGAUUCAAUUCAAUGGCAAAGGACAAAAGCACUGCACCACUCCCCCUUCUGCUGUUCCUCCCCUCUUUGUAUGUGAGUUGUGUUCAGCACUCCUGCUUUAGAAGCAUAAGCGAUUAAGAGUUGGCAGUGGUGUCAGGCAGAGCUGGGCUCAGAACUUCACCUGGCCUUGGACCUCAGUUCCCACCUGCACAAUGCCCCUGAUAAUAGCCUUGAGCCCACUGAGUGGCUUUGAGGAUUAGAGAAGCUAAGCAUGUAUGUGCUCAACACAGUGCUCAACAAGUGGGAGACAUCAGUAGCAGCAGCUCCAGAGACAAGGACAGAGAUGUGAUUCAGCAAAUCAUUGAGACCAUAUUGCUUUUUCUGAGGCCAAACUCAUCUCCCAGGGAAUUGCACUUAACCAGUGAGUGACUCUUUCAAUAAAAACAUGGGUUACUCUGCCCAGCACCUAGACAUUCCCAAGUCUCCCCUCGAAAACUGCCAUUUGGAGUCCUGGUACUGUAGUAAUGAGGAUGUGGGCCCAACUUCCGGGAGCAUUCCAAAUAAGAAACUUCCAGAACUUAAUUAUUUUAUGGUACAAAAGCUUCUUAUUCUUUUUGGAAAGUAAAAUUAUAUAUAAGUAUUUUCAAUGGACUUACUAUGCCAAAACUAUGCAUUAUCAACCUUGGAAAAAUACUCAUAGCUAUUUAUAUUGACUUGAAUCUCUCAUUUUUUUCUUGUGUUUGUUUGCUUGGGGUGGUGUGUGUGUGUGUGUGUGUGUGUGUGUAUACGCAUGCAAGCUCCUGAGUCUUUAGAUGGUAUGUGCUGGCCAGUGUGGCACAUCCAACAGCUUUCCUGGGAUAUAAUUAUACAUUCAUUCACUUGUGGGUGAUACAUUUCAAAGGGAUUUAGCAUAUUCACAGAGUUAUGUGACGAUCAGCACAAUCAAUUUUACAACAUUUUCAUCACUCCAAAAAGAGACCAUCUAUCAAUUUGCAAGUCACUCCCCAUCUCUUUCAUGACCCAAAGCAACCACUAAUUUACUUUCUGUUGCUAUGGAUUUGCCUGUUCUGGACAUUUCACAGAAAUGGAAUCAUAUAAUGUGUGAUCUUUUAUAACUGGAUUCUUUCACUUAGCAUGUUUUAUCCAUGCUAUAGCAUGUAUUAGUAUCUUGUUGAUUUUUAUGGCUAAAUAAUAUUCUGUUCUAUGGCUAUACCAUAUAGUGUUUAUCUAUUUAUCAGUUGGUGAAUAUUGGGGUUGUGUCCACUUUUUGACCAUUGUGAACAAUGUUGCUAUGAAUACUUAUGUUCAAUCUUUUAUGUGGAUGUGUGUUUUCAUUUUUUUAGUACACACCUAGGAGUGAACUUUCUGGGUCAUAUGGAAACUAUCAUCAAUUUUUAAAAUGACUGUCAAAACUGCUUUUCAAAGGGAUUACAUCACUUUACAUUUUCAUCAAGGUUGUAUAAGGGCUACAGCUUUUUCUUCUCUUUGCCAACUCUUGUUAUUUUCUGAUUUUUAAAAUUAUAGUCAUACUAGUGGACUGAACAGGUAUCUCACUGUGGUUUUGAUUUGCAUUUCUCUGAUGUGUAAUGAUGUGUUGAUUGGCCAUUUGUAUAUAAUUUUUGUAGACAUGCCUAUUCAUACACUUUGUCCAUUUUAAGUUGGCUUAUUUAUAUUUUAUUAAUGAGUUGUAAUAGUUCACUAUGUAUUCUAGAUGCAAUUUCUUUCUCAGAUAUAUAAUUUGCAAAAAAUUUUUUUGCAUUCUAUUGGACACCGUUUUACUCUCUUGAUGAUAUCUUUUGUAGCACAAAAGUUUCACAUUUUGAUCUAUUUCUUUGU
ensembl:lncRNA